rnacentral:rRNA from 1 species
GACGAACGCUGGCGGCGUGCUUAACACAUGCAAGUCGAACGGAAAGGCCCUGCUUUUGUGGGGUGCUCGAGUGGCGAACGGGUGAGUAACACGUGAGUAACCUGCCCUUGACUUUGGGAUAACUUCAGGAAACUGGGGCUAAUACCGGAUAGGAGCUCCUGCUGCAUGGUGGGGGUUGGAAAGUUUCGGCGGUUGGGGAUGGACUCGCGGCUUAUCAGCUUGUUGGUGGGGUAGUGGCUUACCAAGGCUUUGACGGGUAGCCGGCCUGAGAGGGUGACCGGCCACAUUGGGACUGAGAUACGGCCCAGACUCCUACGGGAGGCAGCAGUGGGGAAUAUUGCACAAUGGGCGGAAGCCUGAUGCAGCACCGCCGCGUGCGGGAUGACGGCCUUCGGGUUGUAAACCGCUUUCGCCUGUGACGAAGCGUGAGUGACGGUAAUGGGUAAAGAAGCACCGGCUAACUACG